GCAGCAGCCGCGGUAAUACAGAGGGUGCGAGCGUUAAUCGGAUUUACUGGGCGUAAAGCGUGCGUAGGCGGCUUUUUAAGUCGGAUGUGAAAUCCCUGAGCUUAACUUAGGAAUUGCAUUCGAUACUGGGAAGCCAGAGUAUGGGAGAGGAUGGUAGAAUUCCAGGUGUAGCGGUGAAAUGCGUAGAGAUCUGGAGGAAUACCGAUGGCGAAGGCAGCCAUCUGGCCUAAUACUGACGCUGAGGUACGAAAGCAUGGGGAGCAAACAGGAUUAGAUACCCCGGUAGUCCCUGUCUCUUAUAC
rnacentral:rRNA from 1 species